rnacentral:lncRNA from 1 species
AAAGCGUGGACCGUCUGAUCUAAGCUCAUUAAUUGAGCUGGCAAAUCAUGAGGCCAGGAAGCGCGCGCGUACGGUGGAUCCAAGUCAAUGCGUGCACAUGUGAAACAAUUAAAAGUCAUAACAAACAAGGGACGAGAUUCAAUCUGGAGAAUGGAUCAAACGGCCAGGAUUUAAACUGGCAAUGAUGAAGCCACCGGAGCCACCGUCUUCUCCGGUGAGCUUCCCAGAUUCCGGCCAAGUUGCAGAAAGAAAAAAAAGGUAACCAAAACGUGCG